UAGGGAAUCUUCGGCAAUGGACGGAANUCUGGACCGAGCAACGCCGCGUGAGUGAAGAAGGUUUUCGGAUCGUAAAGCUCUGUUGUAAGAGAAGAACGAGUGUGAGAGUGGAAAGUUCACACUGUGACGGUAUCUUACCAGAAAGGGACGGCUAACUACGUGCCAGCAGCCGCGGUAAUACGUAGGUCCCGAGCGUUGUCCGGAUUUAUUGGGCGUAAAGCGAGCGCAGGCGGUUAGAAAAGUCUGAAGUGAAAGGCAGUGGCUCAACCAUUGUAGGCUUUGGAAACUGUUUAACUUGAGUGCAGAAGGGGAGAGUGGAAUUCCAUGUGUAGCGGUGAAAUGCGUAGAUAUAUGGAGGAACACCGGUGGCGAAAGCGGCUCUCUGGUCUGUAACUGACGCUGAGGCUCGAAAGCGUGGGGAGCGAACAGGAUUAGAUACCCUGGUAGUCCACGCCGUAAACGAUGAGUGCUAGGUGUUAGGUCCUUUCCGGGACUUAGUGCCGCAGCUAACGCAUUAAGCACUCCGCCUGGGGAGUACGACCGCAAGNUGG
rnacentral:rRNA from 1 species